GGGCUCAUAGCUCAGUCGGUAGAGCACUAGACUUUUAAUCUAGGUGUCCCGGGUUCGAACCCCGGUGGGCUCA
rnacentral:tRNA from 1 species